rnacentral:siRNA from 1 species
CUAAUUUUCUUGGGCCUUUCUU